rnacentral:rRNA from 1 species
UCCUACGGGAGGCAGCAGUGGGGAAUAUUGCACAAUGGGCGCAAGCCUGAUGCAGCAACGCCGCGUGAGGGACGAAGGCCUUCGGGUUGUAAACCUCUUUAGUAGGGAAGAAGCGACGGGGUUUUCCUGGGAGUGACGGUACCUGCAGAAAAAGCACCGGCUAACUACGUGCCAGCAGCCGCGGUAAUACGUAGGGGGCAAGCGUUGUCCGGAAUUAUUGGGCGUAAAGAGCUCGUAGGCGGUUUGGUUCGCGUCUGCUGUGAAAACCCGAGGCCUCAACCUUCGGGCCUGCAGUGGGUACGGGCAGACUAGAUGCGGUAGGGGAGAUUGGAAUUCCUGGUGUAACCGGUGGAAUGCGCAGAUAUCAGGAGGAACACCAAUGGCGAAGGCAGAUCUCUGGGCCGUUACUGACGCUGAGGAGCGAAAGCAUGGGGAGCGAACAGGAUUAGAUACCCUGGUAGUCCACGCCGUAAACGUUGGGAACUAGAUGUGGGGACCAUUCCACGGUCUCCGUGUCGCAGCUAACGCAUUAAGUUCCCCCGCCUGGGGAGUACGGCCGCAAGGCUAAAACUCAAAGGAAUUGACGGGGGCCCGCACCAGCGGCGGAGCCUGCGGAUUAAUUCGAUGCAACGCGAAGAACCUUACCAAGGCUUGACAUAUACCGGAAACGGCUGGAAACAGUCGCCCCGCAAGGUCGGUAUACAGGUGGUGCAUGGUUGUCGUCAGCUCGUGUCGUGAGAUGUUGGGUUAAGUCCCGCAACGAGCGCAACCCUCGUCCUAUGUUGCCAGCACGUAAUGGUGGGAACUCAUGGGAUACUGCCGGGGUCAACUCGGAGGAAGGUGGGGAUGACGUCAAAUCAUCAUGCCCCUUAUGUCUUGGGCUUCACGCAUGCUACAAUGGCCGGUACAAAGGGCUGCGAUACCGCAAGGUGGAGCGAAUCCCAAAAAGCCGGUCUCAGUUCGGAUUGAGGUCUGCAACUCGACCUCAUGAAGUCGGAGUCGCUAGUAAUCGCAGAUCAGCAACGCUGCGGUGAAUACGUUCCCGGGCCUUGUACACACCGC